UGACUUUAGCAUUCCCGUAUAAAAGUUUACGGGGUGCUUUUUAUGUUAUACUUACUUUUAUAUAGUAGGAGUGAACUAUAUAGCCCGGCAGAGGCCAUAUAUCUGACUGUUGGUCCCGCAGGAGACUUCU
rnacentral:ncRNA from 1 species